UAGGGAAUCUUCGGCAAUGGACGGAAGUCUGACCGAGCAACGCCGCGUGAGUGAAGAAGGUUUUCGGAUCGUAAAGCUCUGUUGUAAGAGAAGAACGAGUGUGAGAGUGGAAAGUUCACACUGUGACGGUAUCUUACCAGAAAGGGACGGCUAACUACGUGCCAGCAGCCGCGGUAAUACGUAGGUCCCGAGCGUUGUCCGGAUUUAUUGGGCGUAAAGCGAGCGCAGGCGGUUAGAUAAGUCUGAAGUUAAAGGCUGUGGCUUAACCAUAGUAGGCUUUGGAAACUGUUUAACUUGAGUGCAAGAGGGGAGAGUGGAAUUCCAUGUGUAGCGGUGAAAUGCGUAGAUAUAUGGAGGAACACCGGUGGCGAAAGCGACUCUCUGGCUUGUAACUGACGCUGAGGCUCGAAAGCGUGGGGAGCAAACAGGAUUAGAUACCCUGGUAGUCCACGCUGUAAACGAUGAGUGCUAGGUGUUAGACCCUUUCCGGGGUUUAGUGCCGUAGCUAACGCAUUAAGCACUCCGCCUGGGGAGUACGACCGCAAGGUUG
rnacentral:rRNA from 1 species